GGGGGGGGGGGACUCGUCUCUCUUCUCCUUGGCGUCUGCUCCGGGGGGUGUUUACCUGCCCCUUUCCAAGAAAAGAAUCCGGCGGCGCACCGCCGGCCCGUCGCAAACGCAACGCCGUUGCGGCGGAGCAAGAGCGUACACGUUGGGACCCGAAAGAUGGUGAUCUAUGCCCGGGCAGGACGAAGCCAGAGGAAACUCUGGUGGAGGUCCGUAGCGAUUCUGACGUGCAAAUCGAUCGUCGGACCUGGGUAUAGGGGCGAAAGACUAAUCGAACCGUCUA
rnacentral:rRNA from 1 species